GCCCCUUGGCCAAGUUCGAGCUGGUAGAGAGAAGCUUGCUUCUCUUGAGAGCGGCGGACGGGUGAGUAAUACCUAGGAAUCUGCCUGAUAGUGGGGGAUAACGUUCGGAAACGGACGCUAAUACCGCAUACGUCCUACGGGAGAAAGCAGGGGACCUUCGGGCCUUGCGCUAUCAGAUGAGCCUAGGUCGGAUUAGCUAGUUGGUGAGGUAAUGGCUCACCAAGGCUACGAUCCGUAACUGGUCUGAGAGGAUGAUCAGUCACACUGGAACUGAGACACGGUCCAGACUCCUACGGGAGGCAGCAGUGGGGAAUAUUGGACAAUGGGCGAAAGCCUGAUCCAGCCAUGCCGCGUGUGUGAAGAAGGUCUUCGGAUUGUAAAGCACUUUAAGUUGGGAGGAAGGGCAUUAACCUAAUACGUUGGUGUCUUGACGUUACCGACAGAAUAAGCACCGGCUAACUCUGUGCCAGCAGCCGCGGUAAUACAGAGGGUGCAAGCGUUAAUCGGAAUUACUGGGCGUAAAGCGCGCGUAGGUGGUUUGUUAAGUUGAAUGUGAAAUCCCCGGGCUCAACCUGGGAACUGCAUCCAAAACUGGCAAGCUAGAGUAUGGUAGAGGGUAGUGGAAUUUCCUGUGUAGCGGUGAAAUGCGUAGAUAUAGGAAGGAACACCAGUGGCGAAGGCGACUACCUGGACUGAUACUGACACUGAGGUGCGAAAGCGUGGGGAGCAAACAGGAUUAGAUACCCUGGUAGUCCACGCCGUAAACGAUGUCAACUAGCCGUUGGGAGUCUUGAACUCUUAGUGGCGCAGCUAACGCAUUAAGUUGACCGCCUGGGGAGUACGGCCGCAAGGUUAAAACUCAAAUGAAUUGACGGGGGCCCGCACAAGCGGUGGAGCAUG
rnacentral:rRNA from 2 species